ensembl:snRNA U6 U6 spliceosomal RNA
GUUCUCUUAGACAGCACAUAUACUAAAAGUGGAAUGAUACAGAGAAGAUUAGCAUGGCCCCUGCACAAGGUGGCAUGUAAAAUCCCCAACAGCGCCCCCAGACUU